rnacentral:rRNA from 1 species
ACGGGUGCGUAACGCGUAUGCAACCUGCCCCUGACCGGGACAAAACAGCUGGAAACGGCUGCUAAUAUCCCAUGGUUACCGAGGAGGGCAUCCUCCUUUGUAUAAAGAUUCAUUGGUCGGGGAUGGGCAUGCGUAUUAUUAGGUAGUUGGUGGGGUAACGGCCCACCAAGCCGACGAUGAUUAGGGGUUCUGAGAGGAUUAACCCCCACACUGGAACUGAGACACGGUCCAGACUCCUACGGGAGGCAGCAGUAGGGAAUAUUGGGCAAUGGAGGCAACUCUGACCCAGCCAUGCCGCGUGAAGGAAGACGGCCCUAUGGGUUGUAAACUUCUUUUAUCGUGGAGUAAACCCGGUCACGUGUGGCCGGUUGAGAGUACACGAGGAAUAAGUAUCGGCUAACUCCGUGCCAGCAGCCGCGGUAAUACGGAGGAUACGAGCGUUAUCCGGAUUUAUUGGGUUUAAAGGGUGCGCAGGCGGAUCGGUAAGUCAGGGGUGAAAAGUUGGGGCUCAACUCCAAUCGUGCCUUUGAUACUGCCGGACUAGAGUGCGAUAGGCGUGGCUGGAAUGUGAUGUGUAGCGGUGAAAUGCUUAGAUAUGUCACAGAACACCGAUCGAGAAGUCAGGUCACGAGCUCGCAACUGACGCUCAGGCACGAAAGCGUGGGGAUCAAACAGGCUUAGAUACCCUGGUAGUCCACGCUGUAAACGAUGAUCACUCGUUGUUGGGGGGCGACCCUCAGCGGCCAAGCGAAAGCAAUAAGUGAUCCACCUGGGGAGUACGAUCGCAAGGUUGAAACUCAAAGGAAUUGACGG